UGGCUGCAAAAAUGUAUAUAU
rnacentral:snRNA from 1 species